GAGAACACCUUUAUUUAACCAGGUAGGCCAGUUGAGAACACCUUUAUUUAACCAGGUGGCCAGUUGAGAACACCUUUAUUUAACCAGGUAGGCCAGUUGAGAACACCUUUAUUUAACCAGGUAGGCUAGUUGAGAACACCUUUAUUUAACCAGGUAGGCCAGUUGAGAACACCUUUAUUUAACCAGGUGGCCAGUUGAGAACACCUUUAUUUAACCAGGUGGCCAGUUGAGAACACCUUUAUUUAACCAGGUAGGCCAGUUGAGAAUACCUUUAUUUAACCAGGUAGGCCAGUUGAGAACACCUUUAUUUAACCAGGUAGGCCAGUUGAGAACACCUUUAUUUAACCAGGUAGGCCAGUUGAGAACACCUUUAUUUAACCAGGUAGGCUAGUUGAGAACACCUUUAUUUAACCAGGUAGGCCAGUUGAGAACACCUUUAUUUAACCAGGUAGGCCAGUUGAGAACACCUUUAUUUAACCAGGUGGCCAGUUGAGAACACCUUUAUUUAACCAGGUGGCCAGUUGAGAACACCUUUAUUUAACCAGGUAGGCCAGUUGAGAACACCUUUAUUUAACCAGGUAGGCUAGUUGAGAACACCUUUAUUUAACCAGGUGGCCAGUUGAGAACACCUUUAUUUAACCAGGUAGGCCAGUUGAGAACACCUUUAUUUAACCAGGUAGGCAAGUUGAGAACACCUUUAUUUAACCAGGUAGGCCAGUUGAAAACACCUUUAU